AAAGUGCGACAAGUGUCAUGACUUGCAGAUACCCGAGAGCUGACAAAUUUCUGAAUGCAAAUUGCAGCCAAGUUAACCUGGCUAUGCAUUGCAGAGAGUACUUCGCUUAUGCGCUUCAUCCAGAGAUGGAUUCAUCCCUGGGACAUGCGAUUGCGCGAAAAAUGGAAACUGCACCACACGGUGCAGUUCUCAACAUUCACAACACCGCACCUACAACAACGUUGUGGCGCGCGUGUUCCGCGAUCGUCAAAGGAAGAAAACCAUCGAGUUUUCCUGGAUUAUCAAUAUCUGAGUCGAAAAGAACUUCUCUUCUCUUCUCACCCCUUACCUCUGCAAUGCAGGAGAACCCGCUGAACUUAA
rnacentral:misc_RNA from 1 species